rnacentral:lncRNA from 1 species
GUGGAUCUAGUCUAGCUUGCUGCAGGGCAGGGAUUGUGACAUUGGAAAAUGACCUCUUCUUUUUUCUCGACAUCAAAUGAUUAAUUGUGGUCAUAAUUAAGACAAAGAAUGUGCUAAUUGGUGCGACCAGCUAAGGCAGCUAGGUAGAUCGCGAUUACUUGGGCAAACAACAUUUGUUGAUCCUUUGGGAAAACCCUCCCAUUUACCUAUCAACAGUAAUAUGCC